rfam:Felis catus isolate Cinnamon breed Abyssinian chromosome D3, whole genome shotgun sequence.
GCCUGGGUGGCUCAGUCAGUUCAGCAUCUGACUUUGGCUCAGAUCAUAAUCUCAAGGUCCGUGAGUUCAAGCCCCAUGUCGGGCU